rnacentral:rRNA from 1 species
GACGAACCGUCCGAACGUUAUUCGGAAUCACUGGGCUUAAAGGGUGCGUAGGCGGCGCAGUAAGUAGGGUGUGAAAUCCCUCGGCUUAACCGAGGAACUGCGCCCUAAACUACUGUGCUCGAGGGAGAUAGAGGUGAGCGGAACUUAGGGUGGAGCGGUGAAAUGCGUUGAUAUCCUAAGGAACACCGGUGGCGAAAGCGGCUCACUGGAUCUCUUCUGACGCUGAGGCACGAAAGCUAGGGUAGCAAACGGG